rnacentral:rRNA from 1 species
AUUGAACGCUGGCGGCAGGCCUAACACAUGCAAGUCGAACGAGUUGCGAACGGGUGAGUAACGCGUGGUAACCUGCCUAUUAGAGGGGGAUAACUAUUGGAAACGAUAGCUAAUACCGCAUACUAGUAGCUGGACCUGCGUUGUAUUAGCUAGUAGGUAGGGUAAUGGCCUACCUAGGCGACGAUACAUAGCCGACCUGAGAGGUUGAUCGGCCACACGGGAACUGAGACACGGUCCAGACUCCUACGGGAGGCAGCAGUGGGGAAUAUUGCACAAUGGGCGCAAGCCUGAUGCAGCCAUGCCGCGUGUAUGAAGAAGGCCUGCGGGUUGUAAAGUACUUUCAGCGGGGAGGCGUUACCCGCAGAAGAAGCACCGGCUAACUCCGUGCCAGCCGCCGCGGUAAUAC